AGGACGAACGCUGGCGGCGUGCCUAAUACAUGCAGGUCGAACGGCUUUUCUAUGGAAGCUUGCUUCCACUGAGAAGAUAGUGGCGAACGGGUGAGUAACACGUGGGUAACCUGCCCAUAAGAGGGGGAUAACAUCCGGAAACGGGUGCUAAUACCGCAUAGUUUUCUUGAUCGCAUGAUCGGGAAAGGAAAGACGGCCUUUGUGCUGUCGCUUAUGGAUGGACCCGCGGCGUAUUAGUUAGUUGGUGAGGUAACGGCUCACCAAGACGAUGAUACGUAGCCGACCUGAGAGGGUGAUCGGCCACAUUGGGACUGAGACACGGCCCAAACUCCUACGGGAGGCAGUAGUAGGGAAUCUUCCGCAAUGGACGAAAGUCUGACGGAGCAACGCCGCGUGAGUGAAGAAAGGUUUUCGGAUCGUAAAACUCUGUUGUCAGAGAAGAACAAGUUGGAGAGUAACUGCUCCAGCCUUGACGGUAUCUGACCAGAAAGCCACGGCUAACUACGUGCCAGCCGCUGC
rnacentral:rRNA from 1 species